rnacentral:rRNA from 1 species
AAUAGAUACCCUGGUAGUCCACGCCGUAAACGAUGAGUGCUAAGUGUUAGGGGGUUUCCGCCCCUUAGUGCUGCAGCUAACGCAUUAAGCACUCCGCCUGGGGAGUACGACCGCAAGGUUGAAACUCAAAGGAAUUGACGGGGGCCCGCACAAGCGGUGGAGCAUGUGGUUUAAUUCGAAGCAACGCGAAGAACCUUACCAGGUCUUGACAUCCCAAUGACCGCUCUAGAGAUAGAGUUUUCCCUUCGGGGACAUUGGUGACAGGUGGUGCAUGGUUGUCGUCAGCUCGUGUCGUGAGAUGUUGGGUUAAGUCCCGCAACGAGCGCAACCCUUAUUCUUAGUUGCCAUCAUUUAGUUGGGCACUCUAAGGAGACUGCCGGUGACAAACCGGAGGAAGGUGGGGAUGACGUCAAAUCAUCAUGCCCCUUAUGACCUGGGCUACACACGUGCUACAAUGGACGGUACAAAGAGCUGCGAGCCCGCGAGGGUAAGCCAAUCUCAUAAAAACCGUUCUCAGUUCGGAUUGUAGU